UGCGCAGGCGGUUUGUUAAGCGAGAUGUGAAAGCCCCGGGCUCAACCUGGGAAUUGCAUUUCGAACUGGCAAACUAGAGUCUUGUAGAGGGGGUAGAAUUCCAGGUGUAGCGGUGAAAUGCGUAGAGAUCUGGAGGAAUACCGGUGGCGAAGGCGGCCCCCUGGACAAAGACUGACGCUCAGGCACGAAAGCGUGGGGAGCAAACA
rnacentral:rRNA from 1 species